rnacentral:rRNA from 1 species
CCUACGGGAGGCAGCAGUAGGGAAUCUUUCUCAAUGGGCGAAAGCCUGAUGGAGCAACGCCGCGUGCAGGAUGAAGGCCUUCGGGUUGUAAACUGCUUUUAUAAGCGAGAAAUAUGAUGGUAACUUAUGAAUAAGGAUCGGCUAACUACGUGCCAGCAGCCGCGGUCAUACGUAGGAUCCGAGCAUUAUCCGGAGUGACUGGGUGUAAAGAGUUGCGUAGGUGGCAUAAUAAGUAGCUAGUGAAAUCUGGUGGCUCAACCAUUCAGACUAUUAGCUAAACUGUUAAGCUCGAGACCGUUAGGGGUAACUGGAAUUUCUAGUGUAGGAGUGAAAUCCGUAGAUAUUAGAAGGAACACCAAUAGCGUAGGCAGGUUGCUGGGACGGUUCUGACACUAAGGCACGAAAGCGUAGGGAGCAAACGGGAUUAGAUACCCCUGUAGUC